CGGGGAGACACAAACACCAAUGACAACUGAGCCCAACUAUAUAAAGGAUUGACACCACUUUCUACCCAAAACCUUAAGGCAAUGGGUUAAUGGGUCUUUCAUCAUUAUAUAAUGCUCUACUUUCUUAUUUCUAUCCAGUGUGGGACUUAGACUCACACUUGGAUUCCCAACAAUCUCCCCCUCAAGGGUGAGUCCCUUCCACAUAGGUACACCCCCUCCAACGAAAGCAUAUCGGCUCUGUUAAACUGCCUUUUAGUCGCUUAAGACAUAACAAAG
rnacentral:lncRNA from 1 species